UACGUAGGGUGCAAGCGUUAAUCGGAAUUACUGGGCGUAAAGCGUGCGCAGGCGGUGAUGUAAGACAGUCGUGAAAUCCCCGGGCUCAACCUGGGAACUGCAUCUGUGACUGCAUCGCUGGAGUACGGCAGAGGGGGAUGGAAUUCCGCGUGUAGCAGUGAAAUGCGUAGAUAUGCGGAGGAACACCGAUGGCGAAGGCAAUCCCCUGGGCCUGUACUGACGCUCAUGCACGAAAGCGUGGGGAGCAAACAGG
rnacentral:rRNA from 1 species